GCUCGUUCGGCCGCUGGAUUCCUUCCCUGUAGCUCCCUUUUGGCUGCUGGCGUGUGGUGGGCCGUCGGUUUUUUUUUUCACGUCCAUGGCUGUUUGAAGAGCGAAUGACAAGUGGGGCUCGUUAUGUGUGGGUCAAAAGAAUGACGUGCCUUUCCUUCAAUUCUGCGUAACAAAAGCAAGAAACCCUAGACGGACGAGGGGUAAAAGGAAAAAGUAAAGCAGCCGCCUUAUCUCCUCGCUCGCUCCCUCCUCUCUCCCACGCCGCCCCGUCCCUCUCCCUGCUCGUCCCCUCAUCUCCUCUUUCCUCGAUGCCGGAUCCCCUGCUUGCCUCUUCGACCUAGGCCAGAGCCUCGCCGGCAGCUCCCCCAAGUCGGCGCCCGCUAGCUGCUGGUGUGGAGCCGAGCUUCUCUGACGGCGACGGCGACGGCGACAAGCUUGUCCAGGUCGUCAUGGCCGGCGACGACGAACGGGAGGGCGGAGGUGUUUCCAUGGCCACCUUUGCCGAGAGCUCGCACAUCUUCAACCCUCAGCCAUGUUAGUUUUGGGGUGGCUAUUUUUUGGAUCCGCUGCUGCCGUGCGCCGUGCGUCUGGAUCAGGCGCAGGUCGCCGCCAUAGGAGAGCAGGGUGGCGUGGUCUUUGUGGUGGGCAUGGAGCAAGGGAGGAUGAGGCGCUGGUAUGAGGAAAGGAGCAGGAAGGUCGGAGUUCCAGGCGGUGCUGGCCGUCGUCACAUGUCCCCAGUCUAGAUCUAAGAAAAAAGAGAAGGGGAUGAAUCUGGAGGAAGAGCUUGGUGAAGAACAAGGUGUUCGUAAUGGCAACGGUGGUAAUCAACGAUGAGAAAAAAGGACCGAGAUUGUAUUUGUACUAGCAGGUGAUGCCUUAAUUUAGUUCAUGGCAUUAUGGCGGGAUGCAUGUGGUAAAUGGUUACAAUGGUGGCUCAUGGAGUUAAAAUUUUGUGUUCUGUACAGAUUUGAGAUGAUAGAAAUUCAAAAUAGUCCUAAUUUUCAGAUCAUGACCACAGCUUGCGGAGUUUCAAAAUCUAAUAUCUCUAAUUUCCGCAUCAAGCUAAGUGGUCCCGUUGUUUAGCAUGGGUCCUUUGCUACUGUUGGUUGUGUCCUUGCUUCUUGGAGAGGAGGGAGGGCAAAUGACUUUGAUGCCAGAAAUAGGGGAGAGCUGCUGAGGGAUGCCCUGUAGUGGACUGGCUGAGACUGUCGAGCAUCAGGUUGCAAAUCUCCAGAGGUACAAGGGGCUCAUUGGUAGCCUGGCCUGCUUUUGGUAUAUCAAUGAGGACAUCCCUGACGUAAAUUCGUUUCGUGACAGUGGGUGAUUGAGAAAGGAGCCCAAGCAGAAGGCAGAACACAGAUGGAGCAGUUGACUUGUUCUUGUUCAUUUCCCUUUCCGCAACGAAUAGAAUCCAAUUGAUUAAUUUGGGUGUAUGCUGAUUGAGAUAGUUAAUCAAUUGGGUAUGUAGACCAUGGUGUUGGUAGCAUGGGGUGGCCACAUCCAGCGAGGGUGGCGUUCUGUGGAUUUGGCGCCCCCCAUCCCAGCAGCACGUGGGAGCCGGUGUCUUCGGGAAGAGCUGGGUCUCCUUGCCGGCGACCUCACCAUCUUGCCAGCGACUUCACCUU